GACAGAGGUGCCAAGCGUUAGGCGGAAUCACUGGGCUUAAAGCGUGUGUAGGCGGAUCGUUAAGUACCUUGUGAAAUCCCACGGCUCAACCGUGGAACUGCUGGGUAUACUGGCGGUCUUGAGCCACCUAGGGGCAACUGGAACAAGCGGUGGAGCGGUGAAAUGCGUAGAUAUCAUUUGGAACGCCAAUGGUGAAAACAGCUGACUGGGAGUGUGCUGACGCUGAGACACGAAAGCCAGGGGAGCGAACGGG
rnacentral:rRNA from 1 species